rnacentral:rRNA from 1 species
UACGUAGGUGGCAAGCGUUAUCCGGAUUUACUGGGUGUAAAGGGCGUGUAGGCGGGAAAGCAAGUCAGAUGUGAAAACCAUGGGCUCAACCUGUGGCCUGCAUUUGAAACUGCUUUUCUUGAGUACUGGAGAGGCAGACGGAAUUCCUAGUGUAGCGGUGAAAUGCGUAGAUAUUAGGAGGAACACCAGUGGCGAAGGCGGUCUGCUGGACAGCAACUGACGCUGAGGCGCGAAAGCGUGGGGAGCAAACAGG